ACUGGCAGACUGCCCCAAAGCCUAGACUGCAGCUACCUUGUAUUGUGCUUGGGGUUGCUGGGGUAGUCUUUAGGGGAAGCUGUUUGU
ensembl:miRNA Mir3078 microRNA 3078